rnacentral:rRNA from 1 species
CAAUAGCGUAUAUUAAAGUUGUUGCAGUUAAAAAGCUCGUAGUUGAAUUUUUGCUUGCCGCCGAUGUCGGAACUUCCGUACGUUCGGCGGCGUGCAUCCUUGGGUGGAACCUGUGUGGCAUUAGGUUGUCGUGCAGGGGAUGCUCAUCGUUUACUGUGAAAAAAUUAGAGUGUUCAAAGCAGGCUUACGCCGUUGAAUAUAUUAGCAUGGAAUAAUAAGAUAGGACCUUGGUACUAUUUUGUUGGUCUGCGCACCGAGGUAAUGAUUAACAGGGACAGUUGGGGGUAUUCGUAUUCCAUUGUCAGAGGUGAAAUUCUUGGAUUUCUGGAAGACGAACUACUGCGAAAGCAUUUACCAAGGAUGUUUUCAUUAA